CCUACGGGCGGCAGCAGUGAGGAAUAUUGGUCAAUGGGCGAGAGUCUGAACCAGCCAAGCAGCGUGAAGGAUGACUGCCCUAUGGGUUGUAAACUUCUUUUAUAUGGGAAUAAAAUGUUCAACGUGUGGGAUUUUGUAUGUACCAUAUGAAUAAGGGUCGGCUAACUCCGUGCCAUCAGCCGCGGUAAUACGGAGGAUCCGAGCGUUAUCCGGAUUUAUUGGGUUUAAAGGGUGCGUAGGUGGUUUGUUAAGUCAGUUGUGAAAGUUUGCGGGUCAACCGUAAAAGUGCAGUUGAAACUGGCAGGCUUGAGUACAGUAGAGGUGGGCGGAAUUCGUGGUGUAGCGGUGAAAUGCGUAGAUAUCACGAAGAACUCCGAUUGCGAAGGCAGCUCACUGGACUGAAACUGACACUGAGGCUCGAAAGCGUGGGGAUCAAACAGGAUUAGAUACCCUAGUAGUC
rnacentral:rRNA from 1 species